rnacentral:rRNA from 1 species
UCCAGACUCCUACGGGAGGCAGCAGUGGGGAAUAUUGCACAAUGGGCGAAAGCCUGAUGCAGCAACGCCGCGUGAAGGAAGAAGGGUUUCGGCUCGUAAACUUCUAUUAACAGGGACGAAAGAAAUGACGGUACCUGAAUAAGAAGCCCCGGCUAACUACGUGCCAGCAGCCGCGGUAAUACGUAGGGAGCAAGCGUUGUCCGGAAUUACUGGGCGUAAAGGGCGCGUAGGUGGGCGCUUAAGUCAGGUGUGAAAACUCCGGGCGCAACCUGGAGACUGCACUUGAAACUGGGUGUCUUGAGGGCAGGAGAGGAAAGUGGAAUUCCUAGUGUAGCGGUGAAAUGCGUAGAUAUUAGGAGGAACACCAGUGGCGAAGGCGACUUUCUGGACUGUACCUGACGCUGAGGCGCGAAAGCGUGGGGAGCGAACGGGAUUAGAUACCCCUGUAAGA